rnacentral:rRNA from 1 species
GAUCAAGUGUCGUAAGGGCAAUUGGUGGAUGCCUUGGCAUGCACAGGCGAUGAAGGACGUGAUACGCUGCGAUAAGCUGUGGGGAGCUGCGAAUGAGCUUUGAUCCAUGGAUUUCCGAAUGGGGAAACCCACCUUAAAUGCCUAGAAAGUUUAAGUUGUUCUUCGGAACGGCUUAGGUUUCUAGGCAUUGAUAUAAGGUAUCUUACUUUCGAAUACAUAGGGGUAAGAAGCGAACCCAGGGAACUGAAACAUCUAAGUACCUGGAGGAAAGGACAUCAACCGAGACUCCGUAAGUAGUGGCGAGCGAACGCGGACCAGGCCAGUGGCAAUGAGGAAUAAAAUGGAACGGAAUGGAAAGUCCGGCCUUAGCGGGUGAUAGCCCCGUACAUGUAGAACACUCAUUGUCCUAGAGUAGGGCGGGACACGUGAAAUCCUGUCUGAACAUGGGGAGACCACUCUCCAAGCCUAAGUACUCGUGCAUGACCGAUAGCGAACAAGUACCGUGAGGGAAAGGUGAA